rnacentral:rRNA from 1 species
AUUGAACGCUGGCGGCAUGCCUUACACAUGCAAGUCGAACGGCAGCACGGGUGCUUGCACCUGGUGGCGAGUGGCGAACGGGUGAGUAAUACAUCGGAACGUACCUUAUCGUGGGGGAUAACGCAACGAAAGCUGUGCUAAUACCGCAUACGCCCUGAGGGGGAAAGCGGGGGAUCGAAAGACCUCGCGCGAUUAGAGCGGCCGAUGCCUGAUUAGCUUGUUGGUGGGGUAAAAGCCCACCAAGGCGACGAUCAGUAGCUGGUCUGAGAGGACGAUCAGCCACACUGGGACUGAGACACGGCCCAGACGCCUGCGGGAGGCAGCAGUGGGGAAUUUUGGACAAUGGGGGCAACCCUGAUCCAGCAAUGCCGCGUGAGUGAAGAAGGCCUUCGGGUUGUAAAGCUCUUUUGUCAGGGAAGAAACACCGGCUCUAACACAGUCCGGGAAUGACGGUACCUGAAGAAUAAGCACCGGCUAACUACGUGCCAGCCGCCGCAGUAA